UACGUAGGGGGCAAGCGUUGUCCGGAUUUAUUGGGCGUAAAGAGCGUGUAGGCGGCUUCACAGGUCCGCUGUGAAAACUCGAGGCUCAACCUCGAGAUGUCGGUGGAAACCGUGUGGCUAGAGUCCGGAAAAGGAGAGUGGAAUUCCCGGUGUAGCGGUGAAAUGCGCAGAUAUCGGGAAGAACACCCGUGGCGAAGGCGGCUCUCUGGGACGGUACUGACGCUGAGACGCGAAAGCGUGGGGAGCGAACAGG
rnacentral:rRNA from 1 species